rnacentral:rRNA from 1 species
AUGGAGGACGCGGCCAGGUAUGCGCACAGCCCCGCCCACCUGGCCGUCUACCGGCGGGACCACGCGGCGCUCCGAACCCUCGUCGCCGCCCUCCCCCGCCUCCCCCGCGCGGGGGAGGUCACCACGGAGGCGGAGUCGAUCGCGGGGGAGCGGGUGGCGGACGCGGUGUCGGCCGUCAUCGACCGCCGCGACGUGCCGCGGCGGGAGACGCCGCUGCACCUCGCCGUGCGCCUCCGCGACCCCGUCGCCGCCGACCUGCUCAUGUCGGCGGGCGCCGACUGGUCGCUGCAGAACGCCGACGGCUGGUCGGCGCUGCAGGAGGCCGUGUGCACGCGCGAGGACGCCAUCGCCACCAUCAUCGCGCGCCACUACCAGCCGCUCGCCUGGGCCAAGUGGUGCCGCAGGCUCCCGCGGGUGCUCGCCUCCGUCUCCCGCAUCCGCGACUUCUACAUGGAGAUCUCCUUCCACUUCGAGUCCUCCGUCAUCCCCUUCAUCGGCCGCAUCGCGCCCUCCGACACCUACCGCAUCUGGAAGCGCGGGGCCGCGCUGCGGGCCGACAUGACGCUCGCGGGCUUCGACGGCUUCCGCAUCCAGCGCUCCGACCAGACGUUCCUGUUCCUCGGCGACGGGGCGCGGCCCGAGGAUGCUGGGGGUAAGGAGCUGCUGCCGGGUUCUCUGAUAGUGCUGUCUCAUAAGGAUAAGGAGAUCACUGAUGCGUUGGAAGGGGCCGGCGUGCAGCCUACGGAGUCGGAGGUGGCUCAUGAGGUGGCGUUGAUGUCCAAGACGAAUAUGUAUCGUCCCGGGAUAGACGUCACGCAGGCGGAUCUUGUGCCUCAUGUGAAUUGGCGCCGGCAGGAGAGGACUGAAGCUGUGGGGCAGUGGAAGGCAAAGGUGUAUGAUAUGUUGAAUGUCCUGGUCACCGUCAAGUCGAGACGGGUCCCUGGGGCAAUGACAGACGAGGAGCUGUUUGCGAUGGACGGGGAGGAGAAGAAUGGGAGGAGCGCAGAGCUUGAAACCGAGCUGGAUGAAGUCUUGACUGCCGAGGAGAGGAAGCAGCUUGAUUCAGCGUUGAGGGGGAACCAGGAGGAGGAAUCUGACGAUAGGGCUGAGGAAGGUGACAAAGGGGCUGAUCAUUUGGAUGCAAACGGUGCCGGGAAAGACAAGAAGGGAUGGUUUUGGAACGGCAAGAAAGGUGCCAAGAAUGAUGAGAAGGCACCCAAGGCAGUGAGCAAGGAUGAAUCAGGUGAUGCAGGGAAGGGAAAGGAGAAGGGCAACGGAAAGAAGAAGAAGGGUGGUGUCUCAUCUGGGGAUUCUAAUAAACUCGAAAGUGAGUACAAGAAGGGGUUAAGACCAGUGUUGUGGUUGACACCGGAUUUCCCUUUGAAGACGGAUGAGCUGAUCCCUUUGCUUGAUGUACUAGCAAACAAAGUGAAGGCUGUUAGAAGGCUUAGGGAACUCUUGACAACCAAGCUGCCUACAGGCACAUUUCCAGUCAAGAUUGCUAUCCCUAUUGUCCCAACAAUACGGGUCAUUGUGACAUUCACAAAGUUUGAGGAACUACAGCCUCUAGAUGAGUUCGCUACCCCACCAACGAGCCCCACGCAGUUCCAGGACGCCAAGUCCAAAGAUUCGGAAGGAUCUGCGUCAUGGUACUCGUGGGUCAGAGGGGGCCGCGGUGCGCAGUCCAGCGACAGCGGCGAUAGCAAGAACUGGAAAGACGAGGUCGACCCGUUCCACAUACCUUCCGAAUACACCUGGGUCGACGCCACCGAGAAGAAGCGUAGGAUGAAGGCGAAGAAAGCCAAGGGCAGGCGCGGCACAGCCCGGAAACAGUCGUCGAAAAGCACCUCCUCGGAAGGGGGCCAGCACCCUAUGAUGGACGGCUUCGAGUAA